ACGGGGACUUUGUGGGCAGCGACUCCGGGCCCAGCCCGGGGUUUGGGGUUCACGACCCCCCCCCCCCCCCGCCGCCGGGCACUGGCAGGUGCCUCCUCCGGGGACAGUUUGGGCGCUGUGGCGGGACAGCCGGCACACCUCAGAGGGACCGCCCCUCCCUGCGGGGGUGUGAGGAGACCCAGGCCGGCCGCCCUCAGCGUGGGACAGCAGGGCGGACCAGCGAGCGGGGAGCCGGGUUGGGCCCCUGAUUCAUGGCCUCUACGGCCACGCCCACCCUGCCCUUCCCGUUUCCGGUGUGAGCCACUCAACCGCCGUCCUGGACCAGAAAGUCAAGGCCACAACAGCCAGGUUAGCUCUGGGGAGGAACGGCCGACCUUGCCCUGACCUUCAGGGCGGCGGGAACCCAGACGGGGCUCUUCUCGGCUCUGCGCGACCCACGGCCAGAAACCCAGCGGACAUCUGCGCAAACCCCAGGGCCUCUGUUUUAAAAGGUCUUUCUGAAGGACCAUCGGCCCACUGAAAUGUUACUUCUUAGGCCGUUGAAAUACUACGCCCGUGGUGUUUGUCUCCAUGGGUGUUGAGAUUUCGAGCUCUAAAUAAGGAGUUGUGCAUAGGAGCACCAAUGCGUCCUGCUUAACCUUACAAAUAACGCCACGCUGGGGUAACAUGAGAGUCAAAACACUGUAAGUCUCAGAGGAGAAAAGAACCACGUGCAAAGAAGGAUUUCUGCAGCGCCGCACGCCCGGGUGUCACAAAGCCACAUACGAAGUUUCGUGUGAAGAAGGAAAAACGUGAAGGUCAAACCUCAAAGCCAGGCAAGUUUUGAUUCCCGGGUAAAGACAGGCUCGUAUCUUUGAAUCUGAUUCUUGUACUUAGAGUUCUUUAAAAAGAAGAAGAAGAAUUGAGUUAAAAGCAACAGGAAUCCUGUCAAAUCCACAAGAACUCACAAAGCAUAUACCUUUCUGGAAAAAUUCACUUGAAAAUCCCUGUCGGUCAAUCGAGAUUAGAAGAAAAAAUCCGCUCAAGAAUGUGAAGGUCAUACAAUGGAGUCACUGGCCAGGAUCACUGAGACCAGUUGAAAUAAAAUUUAAAACUUAUUUAUUAAGAAAAA